CUACGGAGGGUCCAAGCGUUAUCCGGAAUCAUUGGGUUUAAAGGGUCCGCAGGCGGUCAAUUAAGUCAGAGGUGAAAGCCCAUCGCUCAACGAUGGAACUGCCUUUGAUACUGGUUGACUUGAGUUAUACGGAAGUAGAUAGAAUAAGUAGUGUAGCGGUGAAAUGCAUAGAUAUUACUUAGAAUACCGAUUGCGAAGGCAGUCUACUACGUAUAUACUGACGCUGAGGGACGAAAGCGAGGGGAGCGAACAGGAUUAGAAACCCUAGUAGUCC
rnacentral:rRNA from 1 species